CCUUGCCGUGCCUUGCUUGACUCUGGUUUUCAGCUCAACUUUAUCAGUGCUCGUCUUGCUAAGCAACUCCAACUCAAAAUUCAUAAUGUAGCCGUCUCCAUAUCUGGUAUAGACGAAGCAACCCUAUUUUCUAACAUGUCCGCUGACAUUUCAGCACAGUCACGUGACAGAUUCAGCACAAAAUUUUUUUCACAUCAUUCGUACGAUGACGGAUUCAACCUUACUUUGGAUAAGAUAUCUCAGAAUAGAAUAUCCCCAAAAACAUCCCACUGGCGGAUCCAACGUUUUUCAAAUCCUAAAGAAUAGAUUUGUUACUUGCCGGACAAUUUUUCGAUCUCAUUUGCAUCGGCCAAAUUCGAAUAUCGGAUAACCUACCAACGCUCUAAAAGAUCAAGCUCGGAUGAAGCUCAAAAUGAAAAGAUAAGGAAGUACAGUAGCGUAUGGAACUAAAACUGCUACGUUUCUAGCAAUUCGAGCAAUGAAACAGCUAACCUACGAUGAAGAGCUUACCUUUCUAUUAGAUGCAAAGAGAUUUGUCGAGCAUUCUACAUAGACGAUUUAAUCUGAGGAGGGGACUCUAUCGAAGAAGGCAUUCGAAUCCGCCAGCAAGUAAACUUUGGAAAACUUUCCAAUCAGGAAAUGAUGCUCGAACGAUCCUGAUGCCUUGAAAGGAGAAAGAUAAUAGGGAAUAUCGGAAACCCUGGAGCGCACGAAGAGCAUGACCUGGCAUCAUCUGGCCUCCCAGCUGAACCCUGCGUACAUUUUAUCGCGUGGAAGCACUCCUCUGGAACUUUUGGACACACAGCUGUGGCACAAUAGACUCUCAUUCAUACAGUCCAAUACCUCGAAUUGGCAACUUGUUAAUUCUACAAGUCAUUUGCUAAGGUCCACUCACUUCAGAUGAGAUCAAGCGCUGAACUCAUUUAUUUAUAGAAAAAAUUCAGCUUUCGCACUUCCUCAAGGAAUACAAUGCGCUCAGUUUAAAUAAGCCUCUUCCAACAGAAGCAACCUUCGUUCUUUGUGCCCAUUGUUGGAUGCCAAGGGACUCUUAAACAUCGGCGUUCGUCUUCAGAACUCAGACUUGGAAUAUGAAGCAAAGCAUCCGUUAUUGUAGCCUAAACGCUACUCAGUCACCGCAGAAAUAAUUACACAUUAUCAUCUAAAAUUUCUUCAUGCCGGUUCGUAAUUUUUCCUAGCAACGCUCCGUAAGCGAUACUGGCCUUUUGGAGGCAUCAAGUCUGUAUCGAAUAUCAUCAACAAAUGCGUGCGCAGCUUUCGCAUGCGACCUAAACUUCUGGACCAAAUCAUGGCCCCAUUACCAAGUGAGUGUGUGCAUCAAAUUUUGCGGUCCAUUUUAAAUCAGAAGUCAGGAAUCGCUCGCCAACGAAAUGCGACAUCUCAAUAUGCUUUGCAACGGUCGGCAGCAACGUGCUGCUGAAGGAGGACAAUGCACCAGGUGGCCACCUGGUCAAAUCGACAGCGCAAUUUCUGUGGGUGACGGCAUCGUGAGAGUAACAGUCAUUCGUGCAGAAAAUGGUCUGGUCAAAAGAGCCAUUUCCAAAAUCGCCAUCCUGCCAAUCGAGCCGACCUCGGUUGAAAGCUUGAAUCCUUCAACGGGGGAGCAUAUUCGCAGCAAACCUAAAAUAUAUUAUUACUUUCAAAAAUCCCGACAUUGAAGUCA